AGAAACCAACAGGGAUUGCCUCAGUAACGGCGAGUGAAGCGGCAAUAGCUCAAAUUUGAAAUCUGGCCCUUUCAGGGUCCGAGUUGUAAUUUGCAGAGGGCGCUUUGGAGUCGGCAGCAGCCUAAGUUCCUUGGAACAGGUCAUCAUAGAGGGUGAGAAUCCCGUAUGUGGCUGCUUGCCUUCGCCGUGUAAAGCCCCUUCGAUGAGUCGAGUUGUUUGGGAAUGCAGCUCUAAAUGGGAGGUAAAUUUCUUCUAAAGCUAAAUAUUGGCCAGAGACCGAUAGCGCACAAGUAGAGUGAUCGAAAGAUGAAAAGCACUUUGGAAAGAGAGUCAAAAAGCACGUGAAAUUGUUGAAAGGGAAGCGCUUGCAGCCAGACGUGCCCGUAGUUGCUCAUCUGGGGUUCUCCCCAGUGCACUCUUCUAUGGGCAGGCCAGCAUCAGUCCGGGCGGUUGGAGAAAGACCUGUGUCACGUAGCUCUCUUCGGGGAGUGUUAUAGGGCAGGUGGAAUGCAACCAGCCUGGACUGAGGUCCGCGCAUCUGCUAGGAUGCUGGCGUAAUGGCUGUAAGCGGCCCGUCUUGAAACACGGACCAAGGAGUCUAACAUCUAUGCGAGUGUUUGGGUGUCAAGCCCGAGCGCGUAAUGAAAGUGAACGGAGGUGGGAACCCCUCGGGGUGCACCAUCGACCGAUCCUGAUGUCUUCGGAUGGAUUUGAGUAAGAGCAUAGCUGUUGGGACCCGAAAGAUGGUGAACUAUGCCUGAAUAGGGUGAAGCCAGAGGAAACUCUGGUGGAGGCUCGCAGCGGUUCUGACGUGCAAAUCGAUCGUCAAAUUUGGGCAUAGGGGCGAAAGACUAAUCGAACUAUC
rnacentral:rRNA from 1 species